rnacentral:pre_miRNA from 1 species
AAAUGGCCGUACUACUAUUGUCAUGUCUGACUGCAUCAUGUGUCAUGAUGCAGUCAGACAUGACAAUGGUAGUACGGCCAUUU